CCUACGGGGGGCAGCAGUGGGGAAUAUUGGACAAUGGGGGGAACCCUGAUCCAGCCAUGCCGCGUGUGUGAAGAAGGCCCUCGGGUUGUAAAGCACUUUCAGUGAGGAAGAACGCCUGGUGGUUAAUACCCAUCAGGAAAGACAUCACUCACAGAAGAAGCACCGGCUAACUCCGUGCCAGCAGCCGCGGUAAUACGGAGGGUGCGAGCGUUAAUCGGAAUUACUGGGCGUAAAGCGCGCGUAGGUGGCUUGAUAAGCCGGUUGUGAAAGCCCCGGGCUCAACCUGGGAACGGCAUCCGGAACUGUCAAGCUAGAGUGCAGGAGAGGAAGGUAGAAUUCCCAGUGUAGCGGUGAAAUGCGUAGAGAUCGGGAGGAAUACCAGUGGCGAAGGCGGCCUUCUGGACUGACACUGACACUGAGGUGCGAAAGCGUGGGUAGCAAACAGGAUUAGAUACCCGAGUAGUC
rnacentral:rRNA from 1 species